AAACCGCUCAGAGGUAAACGGGUGGAGUUGAACUGCAAGCUCUGUGGAUUCAGCUGGUGAGUAUGGUUUGGGCUUGGCCAAAUAGGUUGAGCUGCGGGGUCUGCUUAUUCGCAGGUCUUUGUCUUCGGGCAGGGAUGCGCGAUGCACCUACCAUGUGCUGUGCGCCUCGUGGUUUCGAAUCUGCUCGCUAGUGCACUUUCGCAGGGUGUUCACCACGACCGGCAUUGCUGUCUGGCUAUUGUGGUUAAACCGGUCUUGCAUUGUCCUUGUGGCUUUGCUUGGUCGGGACGGCAGGUAACUCGUUGGUUGUUCGUAGCUUGCUGCGUUCGGCCUCGGGUGUAAUCAGCUGACUUCAAUGGUUCUGUGCAGUAUGUCGGAGACGGCGGCUUGUUGUGUGUGCGUGCGUGCCGGUCUCAUGGGCGUGCUCGGGUAUGACUGUCAUGUUGCUUGCGUAAGCAGGCCUGGUGGUUGCUCGGGUUUGUUCUGUGGGUGGUUGCGUGCGUGGCACUAUGCAGGGCCAAUAGUCUGUGGUGUAGUGGUAGACGAUCCACCCGACCCGUCUUGAAACACGGACCAAGGAGAGUAACAUGUGCGCGAGUCAUUGGGCGUAACGAAACCCAAAGGCGCAGUGAAAGUAAAGGCUCGGCUUUGUCCUUGCUGAGGUGAGAUCUUGCCGUUUCUCAUGCAUGGUACUACCAAGCAUCGAGCGGUGGGCGCAUCACCGGCCCGUCUCAUGACGUAGACACAUAGUCUUCGGACCAGUGCACCGUCGGGGCGGAGCAUGAGCGUACAUGUUGAGACCCGAAAGAUGGUGAACUAUGCUUGCGCAGGUUGAAGCCAGAGGAAACUCUGGUGGAGGACCGCAGCGAUUCUGACGUGCAAAUCGAUCGUCAAACGUGAGUAUAGGGGCGAAAGACUAAUCGAACCAUCUAGUAGCUGGUUCCCUCCGAA
rnacentral:rRNA from 1 species